ensembl:snoRNA
UCUGCUCCCGACAGGCAUUGAGGGCAUGGAUGCUGUGUCACGUGUGCAUCAGUAAGUGACAGAGAAGAGAGAGACUAGGUCUGUGCUCCUUGUUCUGAUUUAUGAACAUCUGCGUGAGUUGUAGCCCAACACU